CCUACGGGAGGCUGCAGUGGGGAAUAUUGCACAAUGGGCGCAAGCCUGAUGCAGCCAUGCCGCGUGUGUGAAGAAGGCCUUCGGGUUGUAAAGCACUUUCAGCGGGGAGGAAGGCGGUGAGGUUAAUAACCUCAUCGAUUGACGUUACCCGCAGAAGAAGCACCGGCUAACUCCGUGCCAGCAGCCGCGGUAAUACGGAGGGUGCAAGCGUUAAUCGGAAUUACUGGGCGUAAAGCGUACGCAGGCGGUCUGUCAAGUCGGAUGUGAAAUCCCCGGGCUCAACCUGGGAACUGCAUUCGAAACUGGCAGGCUAGAGUCUUGUAGAGGGGGGUAGAAUUCCAGGUGUAGCGGUGAAAUGCGUAGAGAUCUGGAGGAAUACCGGUGGCGAAGGCGGCCCCCUGGACAAAGACUGACGCUCAGGUGCGAAAGCGUGGGGAGCAAACAGGAUUAGAUACCCCGGUAGUC
rnacentral:rRNA from 1 species